GAUGAACGCUGGCGGCGUGCCUAAUACAUGCAAGUCGAGCGAGAAGCUUGGAAAUGACGCUUCGGUUGAUUUUCCAAGCGGACAGCGGCGGACGGGUGAGUAACGCGUAGGCAACCUGCCCCUGACAGAGGGAUAGCCAUUGGAAACGAUGAUUAAAACCUCAUGACACCGUAGUAGCACAUGCUACAUCGGUCAAAGAUUUAUCGGUCAGGGAUGGGCCUGCGUCUGAUUAACUGGUUGGUGAGGUAACGGCUCACCAAGGUGACGAUCAGUAGCCGACCUGAGAGGGUGAUCGGCCACAUUGGAACUGAGACACGGUCCAAACUUCUACGGAAGGCAGCAGUAGGGAAUCUUGCACAAUGGGCGAAAGCCUGAUGCAGCAACGCCGCGUGAAGGAUGAAGGCCUUCGGGUUGUAAACUUCUGUUCUAAGGGAAGAAAGAAAUGACGU
rnacentral:rRNA from 1 species